CAGCCCCAGUAUUCAGGUGAAAUGUAUGAAAUGUGCCAGGACAUUGGCCAUGGAUCAGUUGUGACCUCGAAGCUGCAGUUGCUGGAAAACAAUUUUUAAAAGACAGGCGCUGAAGCUAACAAAAGGAGCAGCACCCUCUGCUCCUUCUGGAAAUGGAUUUAAUUCCAGAAAGAAGGCAAAGGACAGGAAAAAGCCUGUCUGGAUGUAAACCUUUUUAUAUACCAAUGAGGGAGAAAUCUGGUGGAUCUAAAAGCUUGGUAUGCACUGUGCAUACUGUAUUUAACAAAAGUCUGCAGAGGAGAAGGAGGAGGAGGGAAAAGAGGAGGAGGAGGAGGAACACUGCACAGUCACCAGUGCAAGGGGAAGCAGGGGGACUCCUGCAAGAAACCAUAAUUAAGCUGCAAGAGACUCCUGCUCCUCUCAAAAUGAAGAACAGAGAGAACAAGGAGCGGCCAAUGUGGCUUCAUAAGGGACUGUGUAAAGAUCUGAGGCUUUAAAUUUUUUAAUUAAAAAAAAAAGAAAAAAAAAAAAGAAAAAAACUGUAGUCAAAAUUAGAAAGCAAGAGGGGGCAGGGGAAGGAAUCAAACAAGGAUACUCAAAUUCAGUUAGGGAUUAUAGGGGAAAUAAUAAGGAUAAGGGGGGAAAAAAAUUUAGAGCUAACCAAAGAACUUUUAAUGGGUUUUAAAAUGUAUAUCAAAGGGAAAAUACAUUCUAGGGAGACAGCAGGCCCAUUAAUUAAUUAGAAGGGGAUUAAAUUAAGCAUGAAUAAAAAAAUAGCUGGACUGAUAAACUUUUAAAAAAUAAACUAUUCUUAUUAAGAAUAAAAUUAAUUUAUGCAAUUUUCAUAGGAAGGUCCAAAAACUUAAUAAAAUAAAUAAGCAAGCAGAGGUAAAAACAGUGGGAAAACAUAUAGCAAAUUACCUGCUCAAUUUUUUCCUACUUUUUGGCUGUGGGCUCUCUGGGAGGGUAUUACAGCUUUUUGAGAUGUCAGUUACUAAAAGCCCUUGCAUGAUGUUUUAUAACAAUUAUUUUUGAGGUGCACGUUGGUGCCAAGUUGUUCACUAUGAGCAUUUGCUCCUCCAACCCAAGGCCAAGUGGGUUCAUCUGAGUGGAUAGAGAGGUCAGAGUCUGGUUUUGUCUUCCCUGAGCCAGGGGGUGGAAGCCUCCCCAUCAGGACCCAGCUUUCCAUCAGCCAACAUCACAUCAUCACUUUUUUGGUCCUCAAAUAUUCUUAAAUAUUACUUAAAACUGGCUUUUCUGAAGUAAUCCUGCAAAAAACCUGUUUACUCACAUAUCUACAGGAUCUGAAAUGGAAAUUCUUGAGGACCAGCAGAAUGAAAAAGGCAAUUCAGUCUGAUUCCACAUAAUGUGCCAUAUAUAUAAAAUACCUAACCUGGAUUUCUUCACCACUAAGGACAUUAACAAAUUUCCUAAAGCACUUCCACUUUAUUUGCUUUUCUUAGCGAAAAUCUGAAGAGCUGUAGGAAAAUUAAGAGGAAAAUAUUAUGAUGCCAGAAGAAAGAUGGACCUGUUUUCUUAGAAAGGAUAACAGAUCUACUGUACUAAUUCAAGUAAAGGAACAAACAUCCUAAAACAAACAUCACUUUGAGCUUGUCUUUGUAGGGAAUUUGGCCAAAAUAAGCCACUCUCACCACCCACCACCCUGCAUCCCUGAAAAAAAAAAAAAAAAAAAAAGAGUCAGACUAAGAAAUAGCUGGUCUGAAGCACCUCCCUGUGUGGUCAAUAUCCCCAAAUAAUGAGCUUUGUUUCCAAAUAAUCAAUGUGUUUUCUGAGUGGAGUUUUCCAGAAACAAACGCUUUUUUUACUUUAGAUCAGAUUAUCCAAAUAAUGGAUUUUGGAUGUUGGGAGUGAUAUUAUUUCACUGUAGACAUUCCAGAUAUUUUUCUCCAGGUGGAUAAAUCCUUUCAGCCAGAUCUGAAGAUGCCGGGAGCCAAAAUGCAUCUUUCCAUUGACUUUGUUGGGAUUGGGAACUUGGAGGUUAACAGAGAAAAGAAACAGCAUAGAUUUACACAAAGCAAAUUUUCACCACCAAACACUGAGUUCCUUUUUAUAGAAAUAGAAAUUUUGUGAAUUCAAGUCUGAUGCUCAAAAUACGUGGGAUUAUUCAUGUGAGCACAGUUCAGGAGUGCUCAGUUGGGUCCUUGGAUUUUAAUAAAACAGUCACUGCUGUCACCCAGCGUCUCAUCCCAACAUUAAUUCAGAUUGACGUGGCUUCGAACGUCUCAGCAGAGAGAGCAGGGGAACGGCCACGAGCUGACCUGGGCCAGCCUCUGGUGGCAUCUCUGCAGGGUAGAGCCCUAAUACAGGCCCUGACCAUGCAGUGGUAUAUGCAAGUGUGUUUGUCAAGGUGGGGAAAAGUGGAGAAAGAAUGCUUCACAGAAGGUGGAGAACAGGAAAAGGAGCCAGGCCAGGGAGCCCAGGAGAAAGGCAGUAUCAACCAAUAUCCAAUAUCUGCCCAUGAAGUGACCUUGGGGAAACAGCAGACUUCAGUGCUGAGGACCAAGAGAUUUAUGAGCCAUCCCACAGGGAAAGGCAAGUUUGAUUUGGCUGCUGGGCUCUGGGGAACAUGUAUUGGAGAUGAGACUGGCCUCU